UGUAAACAAUAGGGUCGUCAAUAUCGCUUAGCAAUUUGAGCUCGAUUAAGACUCAGAGAAUAUUAGUAAAGAGGAUCGCGCAGAACCUGUGCAAUCACGCAGCUCUUAAUGCAAGAGCUGAAUGGGUCGGGAAACUCACCUCCAUUCCCUGCCAGAGAUGAGUUCUUCUAACCACUCUACAUGCUCUAGUUUCCAGCCCCCAUCAAUUCCUUGGUCUUACAGAGAGGGAGAAAGAAACAGAUUGAAAGCGUCAGAGAAAGAAAGACCAUUCAAUAUGGGUACAAAUCUCAGUCAGACAGCAUUAAUCAAUGACCGUUGGGGUCAGCCAGCCGUGCCAGUCCUCACACCUGCAACAAAAGUCCUUGAAAUACAGGCUGAAGCAAUCAAUCACAUACAUCCUGAUGUGUGCGAGAGGCGAUAAGCAAGUUUUAAAAGAGAGAAACACAGAGACAACUCCAGAAAGUAAUUUGCAUGCCUAAUGAGACAUCUCAGCUUGGCGCACACACACGUGAAUGCAUCACUGCGGAAUUUCAAAACCUGCCCUUCUCUCUGCUGUGUGGCAGCCCAGUUAAAUAUCUCACAGCAUUUAUGGCGCUGAGAUAUAAAUUGAGCACACACUAGUCUCACUUGGCUACUAAAGUCCUCUCCUAAUGUAGCAUUUUGCUUCCAUCACUUUAAAUGAAGUAUAAUAACCUUACUCAGUGGAGUCUGUCUGAGUGAAAAAAAAAAAAAAAAAACACCAGGAGGCUUCGACCACAC
ensembl:lncRNA